rnacentral:misc_RNA from 1 species
GAUGAAGAACGUAGCGAAAUGCGAUACCUGGUGUGAAUUGCAGAAUCCCGCGAACCAUCGAGUCUUUGAACGCAAGUUGCGCCCGAGGCCACCCGGCCGAGGGCACGCCUGCCUGGGCGUCACGCCAAAACACGCUCCCACCCCCCCUCACCGGGGGAGCGGGACGCGGCGUCUGGCCCCCCGUGCCGCGAGGCGCGGUGGGCCGAAGAUCGGGCUGCCGGCGUACCGUGCCGGGCACAGCGCGUGGUGGAUCUCUACUCGGCGCAGUGCACCCGGCGCGUAGCCGGCGCAGAGGCCCCUAAGGACCCAACGAACGGAGCGCGAGCCGCUCCGACCGCGACCCCAGGUCAGGCGGGACUACCCGCUGAGUUUAAGCAUAUCAAUAAGCGGAGGA